rnacentral:lncRNA from 1 species
AUAACGAGUAUGGAAAAUGAGGGUAAUUUGGUAAAUGCUAAUGGGACGACUUGGGCAGGUUCAAAGUAUCAGAUUGAAUGUACAAUGUGCGCCGCAUGUGACAACCCUUGCACCACUCCAUCUCCGCCGCCACCUCAGCCGCCGUCGCCUCCACCGCCUUCUACCUCUUAUAAUUGCCCUCCUCCACCAUCUCACCCUAGUUCCGGGGGAAAUUACUACUACUACUCUCCACCGCCACCACCGCCUUCUUCCUUGGGCGGCGGCGGAGGGAAUUACUACUAUUCACCACCUCCACCUUACCAAAAUUACCCUUCUGGACCUACUCCUCCACCUCCAAAUCCAAUUGUUCCGUAUUUCCCGUUCUACUUUUAUAAUCCUCCACCGC